AGAGUUUGAUCCUGGCUCAGAAUCAACGCUGGCGGCGUGCCUAACACAUGCAAGUCGAGCGCGAAAGGGGGGCAACCCCCAAGUAGAGCGGCGAACGGGUGAGUAACGCGUGGGUGAUCUACCUUCGAGUGGGGAAUAACACCGGGAAACUGGUGCUAAUACCGCAUGACAUCUCUGGUUCAUUCUGGAGAUCAAAGCCGGGGACCGAAAGGCCUGGCGCUUGAAGAGGAGCCCGCGUCCGAUUAGCUAGUUGGCGGGGUAACGGCCCACCAAGGCUCCGAUCGGUAGCCGGCCUGAGAGGGCGGACGGCCACACUGGGACUGAGACACGGCCCAGACUCCUACGGGAGGCAGCAGUGGGGAAUUUUUCGCAAUGGGGGAAACCCUGACGAAGCAACGCCGCGUGGAGGAUGAAGGCCUUCGGGUCGUAAACUCCUGUCGACCGGGACGAACGCGCCCGACCUAAUACGUCGGAUCGUUGACGGUACCGGUGGAGGAAGCCACGGCUAACUCUGUGCCAGCAGCCGCGGUAAUACAGAGGUGGCAAGCGUUGUUCGGAAUUACUGGGCGUAAAGGGCGCGUAGGCGGCCCUUCAAGUCCCGCGUGAAAUC
rnacentral:rRNA from 1 species